rnacentral:misc_RNA from 1 species
UAUUCUAUGGCGAGAUGUGUCCACGUGACAGAGCAAGUGACAGUGGUGACAGAUGACAGAUUGCAUUAUUUGGUUAUAUUUGUUGAUUGUUGACAAAUUGUUGAUAACUUUAUAAAAUUAAUCUGUAAAUAAUAACUUUGUUGAUUCAUUCCAUAGAGUCAAUCAUCCAUUAAUUUUUGUUUUUAUAUGUAAUGUUUUAUAAUUCAAUUACCCUAACCAUAUCUCCAAGAAUUCUUACUAAUUUAGCCCUCUUCCUCUUGGUUUUGGUUGCCUGGUUUUCUGUAGUUAGUUUAAACAAAUAUCUUAAAUAUAAUAACAAGAAAAGCUAAGGAAACAUGCCAUUUACAGCUGACUCGGUAGCAGUUCAGCAGGUACAAGAAAGACUAGAGUCUCUUUACAGCCUUAUUCAUGACAUUGAAAAGAAAAGGGCUCAAUGUGAGCAAGGUCUUAAUACUUUACAAAGAAAUAGCAUUGAGGAUAAGGGCCCAAAUACACAGAAGUCCAGAAGCCUUAUUAAGAAUGUUAUGGCUCAAACUGAUGCUGAAAGAGAAGUUAUCCAGAAAGCAUUACAAAAGAUUUAUGAGAUUCGGAAUAUUAUAAAUGAAAGGCGAAUUCAGGCUCGUACUUCAGCUGCUAAGAAAGAAUCUAUUCGCAGAGGAACUUGGAUGAAAAUGCUGUUAAGUUCUGCACAGACACUUCCACUUUUUAUUGGAAAAGUAGGGGAAAAAGCCCCACCACUUUGUGGAGCAGUGCCUGCUGAGAGAAAUUAUAUUGCAAAAGUGGGCGAUACAGUAGUUGCUUUUGCAAAACUAGUAGAGAAAGAGAACUGGAUUUUGGCUGAAGUGGUUAGUUACAAUCCUAACACAGCCAAGUAUGAGGUAGAUGAUAUUUUACGAGAGCAGAACCAAAAAGGGAGGCAUACCUUGAGUAAAAGCAGAGUGAUCCCACUUCCUCUUAUGAGAGCCAAUCCAGAAAUUAAUCCUGAAGCACUUUUUCCUCAAGGCAAAUUAGUGUUGGCACUGUUUCCUCAGACUACCUGUUUCUAUCAAGCGAUCGUCAACAAGCCUCCAGCUACUCACACUGAUGGAUACGAAGUAUUAUUUGAAGAUCCCAGUUAUCCAGAGGGCUACAGUCCGCCGUGUACGGUGGCCCAGCGUUACAUAGUAGCUUGCAAGCAUAAAAUGAAGGUCAGCGCUAGUGCGGCGAGCACUUCACAAGCCGGCAGUAGCGACAGCGAAUCGUAACAAGACUUAUUUUUCGUUGAAAUAUCGGGAAUUCAAUUGAAAAACGACGUCAAGAUCAUCAAAAUUGACGUCGAAAGCCGAAAUUAAAUCUUAUUUUCUUAUAAUUUUAAUAGCAAAUUAGAUAUACAAAAUUACUUUAAAUACUCUUUUAAGUUUAAACUUAUUUUACUGGUAAUUUAGAUUUAAAAAUUCAACAGUUUACUGUGUGGAAUGUCAUGUACCGAAUAUAUUUUUGUGUUUAAUGUAAAGA